UCCGUAGGUGAACCUGCGGAAGGAUCAUUGUCGAUGCCUUACAAGCAGUCCAACACGUGAAUCAGUUUGAACACAUAGGGGUGGGUUGAGGUGCUAACCACCUCCGCCUACCUCAGGUUCAGAGGUGGACGACUCGUGCGUUCUCCUUUGUGCCAACAAAACAAACCCCGGCGCUGAAUGCGUCAAGGAAUUAAAAUUUAGCUCUGAGCGCAACCUCAUGGCAUGCAUCGGAGACGGUGUUCGUGCGGAUUACGUUUUGACACAUUAUAUAGAAUGACUCUCGGCAACGGAUAUCUAGGCUCUUGCAUCGAUGAAGAACGCAGC
rnacentral:rRNA from 1 species